CGUGUAGGCGGUUCGGUAAGUGGAAUGUGAAAUGCUCCGGCUCACCCGGAGUACUGCAUCCCAAACUGCCGAGCUUGAGUAUGGGAGAGGAUGAGGGAAUUCCUGGUGUAGCGGUGAAAUGCGUAGAUAUCAGGAGGAACACCGGUGGCGAAGGCGCUCAUCUGGCCCAAUACUGACGCUGAGGCGCGAAAGCUAGGGAGCAAACG
rnacentral:rRNA from 1 species